CUUUGUGUGUUCAGAGGUGAAGGCAUAAUCAAAUUCAGGGAUUGGUUUUUAUGACAGUGGUAUGUGGAAGGAGGAUCAUGAGGGUAUUCAGGGUGUGAUACAUGACUCUUUUUCCGCCAUUUUCACUUCCUGUAGUCCGUAAAAUAUUACAGAAGUAGUGAGUGGUAUAUCUCAGGUAUUACACCCACAAUGAAUGAAGCUCUCGUGAGUGAUGUCACAGAAGAGGAGAUUCAUGCUGCAUUACUAAAAAUUCACCCCAACAAGGCGCCGGGGCCUGACG
rnacentral:lncRNA from 1 species